rnacentral:rRNA from 1 species
UACAGAGGUCCCAAGCGUUGUUCGGAUUCACUGGGCGUAAAGGGUGCGUAGGUGGCUGGGUAAGUUUGAUGUGAAAUCUCCGGGCUUAACCCGGAAAUGGCAUUGAAUACUAUUCGGCUAGAGGUUUGGAGGGGGACUGGAAUUCCCGGUGUAGCGGUGAAAUGUGUAGAGAUCGGGAGGAACACCGGUGGCGAAGGCGGGUCUCUGGGCAUCUCCUGACGCUGAGGCGCGAAAGCGUGGGGAGCAAACGGG